rfam:Lactobacillus perolens DSM 12744 Scaffold2, whole genome shotgun sequence.
GGUCAUCUUAGGUGUUCGAGUUUUCCUCUUAUCAGGUUGACCGAUCAAGUAACACCACAUUGGGACGGCGAAUUUCUUCUGUGCGUGCAUGCCAUUUCCCUUGGUAGCCCAGAACGGAAGAAUAACUGACCCACCUGCUUAAUAAUAGCGGGUUCAACUGUACGGAAAAAUCAACGGCACCACUAAGAGCCAGC